rfam:Heterocephalus glaber contig179876, whole genome shotgun sequence.
CCAAAGGCUCUUUUCAGAGCCACCUACUUUCUCACUACAAGGGUUG